rnacentral:lncRNA from 1 species
CUAGCCGCCACCAUCAACCACAUCACUACAUCAGAUUCAAAGAUCCUUCAUAUUUCCCAUUUAUUUGUUAGUAAACUCUAUUUCUAGGGUUUUCGUGAAAAAUAUGAAUUUGGGUUUUUAUUUUUUUUUAAUGCAACCAUUUAUUUGUCUACUUAUGUUGCUGCUUAUUUAAACUAUUAGCUUUUCUAUUUCGAAAAAAAUUUACAUACUUUUAAAAUAAGCUUAUUAUUUUUGC